UACAGAGGUCUCGAGCGUUGUUCGGAUUCAUUGGGCGUAAAGGGCGCGUAGGCGGCGGGGUAAGUCUGGUGUGAAAUCUCGGAGCUCAACUCCGAAAUUGCACUGGAUACUGCUCUGCUAGAGGGCUGGAGAGGAGAUCGGAAUUCACGGUGUAGCAGUGAAAUGCGUAGAUAUCGGGAGGAACACCAGUGGCGAAGGCGGCUGUCUGGGCCAGUUCUGACGCUGAGGCGCGAAAGCGUGGGGAGCAAACAGG
rnacentral:rRNA from 1 species